rnacentral:rRNA from 1 species
CGUAGGUGGCAAGCGUUGUCCGGAAUUAUUGGGCGUAAAGCGCGCGCAGGCGGUCCUUUAAGUCUGAUGUGAAAGCCCACGGCUCAACCGUGGAGGGUCAUUGGAAACUGGGGGACUUGAGUACAGAAGAGAAGAGUGGAAUUCCACGUGUAGCGGUGAAAUGCGUAGAGAUGUGGAGGAACACCAGUGGCGAAGGCGACUCUUUGGUCUGUAACUGACGCUGAGGCGCGAAAGCGUGGGGAGCAAACAGGAUUAGAUACCCUGGUAGUCCACGCCGUAAACGAUGAGUGCUAAGUGUUAGAGGGUUUCCGCCCUUUAGUGCUGCAGCUAACGCAUUAAGCACUCCGCCUGGGGAGUACGGCCGCAAGGCUG